rnacentral:tRNA from 2 species
AGCUUUAUAGUCAAUUAUGAUAUUAGACUGCAAUUCUAAAGGAGUAUUCUUAUACUAAGGCUU